GUUAGUAAAUAAUUAGUUUCCCUAUUUUGCAGAUGGUAAAGUGGGGGCCAAACUAUUUCAGGCUAUCCAGGACUGCUUUUCUCACAGCCACUGGGCAAUACGCACAGCUUUCUUGAGACUCUAUUCUACUCAUAACAUUCAAAAUAAGGCUCACGAACAAAGAACAAUACAAAUUCUCUGCUCUCGUGGGUCCAUGAUUGCUUCCUUUUCUAGUAUCCACCAGAAAGCAAGACUGCUAAAAACAGGGGAAAGGACAUAUGACCUGAUCUCUGGACAGGAAUCCCCAAGAAAUUAGUCGGUGGGAGCAUUUGGGAAAUGCCCAGAGAUGCAUGUGUAGAAUCAAUGAAGAAAUGGAGACACCCCUAGCACAAAUACCAACGUCCACAAGCAAAUGUCUAUACCCUCCUUUCAAGCAUAUCUCCAUCCUUCUCCUUCCCAUGUGGGCCUUCAGUGAACUGCUCACAUCAGCUCAGCACAUUUCUUCACUACUUGUGUUUGUAGUCGCUGUUCAUCCAUGGCAAAUAAGCUCCAGAGACACAAUCCUAAUGGAUGGGCAGACCAACAAGAGGACAUGUGACAUCUACAUGAAGAACUUCUUGCACCAUGGGAUGGUAAAGAACAGGCUAUGUUUUGAAAGCAGACCUCUGACACAGGGUCUUGCGUUUCGUCUUGCUGUCACACUGUGUUACCACACCACAUCACACUGUGUGACAUAACCGACAAACCCUGUUGUAACCUGUAUGUGUCAUGGGAAGGCAGCCUGCUGCCUGAUUCUUGUAAGAGUGCUUCAGGAAAAAGGCAAUCCUACUAAUUCCCCACAGCCAGAACUGUAGCAGGAGCAAAGCUGAACAGAGCUGCUUGCUCUCUUCCUACCUAUCUAUAAUCAGCUUCAGGCAGUCAGCACUUGUCACCCUGAACAUUUCAGAAAUUCUAGAGUACAUGGUGAUAUAAAGCCACUGAAAUGGAGUAAUGUCCCAUGAAGAAAGAGGCUGUCUGUUGAAACCUACUUUUUCACAUUCAAGUAGGAGGUGGUGUGAUAGGGCACACCACAGCAGGGUCCUGACAGCAUACGUCAGUGAGGACAAAUGAACUUUUCAGUGCUGGUCCAAGGUAUUUCAGUUUUGUAUCUAGCCCUCUCUGUGCCCUGCUGUCUUCAUGGUGGUGAUACCAGUUUGGAAGUGAUACCAAGGAACUACUCAGAAUAUGAGAACUUCAACUUUUUCUUUUGUUGCGUUCCCCAGGAAUUACCGCUCGCAACAAUUUGUGGAUGUCCCCCUCAGAUUAUUUUAACUAAGAGCUUUCCUGAUUUAUUUUGUCUCCAGGGGAUUUCUAACUUAUGUGAAC
ensembl:lncRNA